UCCUGACUGACCGAUAGUGAACCAGUACCGUGAGGGAAAGGCGAAAAGAACCCCGGCGAGGGGAGUGAAAAAGAACCUGAAACCGUGUACGUACAAGCAGUGGGAGCACGCUUAGGCGUGUGACUGCGUACCUUUUGUAUAAUGGGUCAGCGACUUAUAUUCUGUAGCAAGGUUAACCGAAUAGGGGAGCCGAAGGGAAACCGAGUCUUAACUGGGCGUUAAGUUGCAGGGUAUAGACCCGAAACCCGGUGAUCUAGCCAUGGGCAGGUUGAAGGUUGGGUAACACUAACUGGAGGACCGAACCGACUAAUGUUGAAAAAUUAGCGGAUGACUUGUGGCUGGGGGUGAAAGGCCAAUCAAACCGGGAGAUAGCUGGUUCUCCCCGAAAGCUAUUUAGGUAGCGCCUCGUGAAUUCAUCUCCGGGGGUAGAGCACUGUUUCGGCAAGGGGGUCAUCCCGACUUACCAACCCGAUGCAAACUGCGAAUACCGGAGAAUGUUAUCACGGGAGACACACGGCGGGUGCUAACGUCCGUCGUGAAGAGGGAAACAACCCAGACCGCCAGCUAAGGUCCCAAAGUCAUGGUUAAGUGGGAAACGAUGUGGGAAGGCCCAGACAGCCAGGAUGUUGGCUUAGAAGCAGCCAUCAUUUAAAGAAAGCGUAAUAGCUCACUGGUCGAGUCGGCCUGCGCGGAAGAUGUAACGGGGCUAAACCAUGCACCGAAGCUGCGGCAGCGACGCUUAUGCGUUGUUGGGUAGGGGAGCGUUCUGUAAGCCUGCGAAGGUGUGCUGUGAGGCAUGCUGGAGGUAUCAGAAGUGCGAAUGCUGACAUAAGUAACGAUAAAGCGGGUGAAAAGCCCGCUCGCCGGAAGACCAAGGGUUCCUGUCCAACGUUAAUCGGGGCAGGGUGAGUCGACCCCUAAGGCGAGGCCGAAAGGCGUAGUCGAUGGGAAACAGGUUAAUAUUCCUGUACUUGGUGUUACUGCGAAGGGGGGACGGAGAAGGCUAUGUUGGCCGGGCGACGGUUGUCCCGGUUUAAGCGUGUAGGCUGGUUUUCCAGGCAAAUCCGGAAAAUCAAGGCUGAGGCGUGAUGACGAGGCACUACGGUGCUGAAGCAACAAAUGCCCUGCUUCCAGGAAAAGCCUCUAAGCAUCAGGUAACAUCAAAUCGUACCCCAAACCGACACAGGUGGUCAGGUAGAGAAUACCAAGGCGCUUGAGAGAACUCGGGUGAAGGAACUAGGCAAAAUGGUGCCGUAACUUCGGGAGAAGGCACGCUGAUAUGUAGGUGAAGUCCCUUGCGGAUGGAGCUGAAAUCAGUCGAAGAUACCAGCUGGCUGCAACUGUUUAUUAAAAACACAGCACUGUGCAAACACGAAAGUGGACGUAUACGGUGUGACGCCUGCCCGGUGCCGGAAGGUUAAUUGAUGGGGUCAGCGCAAGCGAAGCUCUUGAUCGAAGCCCCGGUAAACGGCGGCCGUAACUAUAACGGUCCUAAGGUAGCGAAAUUCCUUGUCGGGUAAGUUCCGACCUGCACGAAUGGCGUAAUGAUGGCCAGGCUGUCUCCACCCGAGACUCAGUGAAAUUGAACUCGCUGUGAAGAUGCAGUGUACCCGCGGCAAGACGGAAAGACCCCGUGAACCUUUACUAUAGCUUGACACUGAACAUUGAGCCUUGAUGUGUAGGAUAGGUGGGAGGCUUUGAAGUGUGGACGCCAGUCUGCAUGGAGCCGGCCUUGAAAUACCACCCUUUAAUGUUUGAUGUUCUAACGUGGACCCGUGAUCCGGGUUGCGGACAGUGUCUGGUGGGUAGUUUGACUGGGGCGGUCUCCUCCUAAAGAGUAACGGAGGAGCACGAAGGUUGGCUAAUCCUGGUCGGACAUCAGGAGGUUAGUGCAAUGGCAUAAGCCAGCUUGACUGCGAGCGUGACGGCGCGAGCAGGUGCGAAAGCAGGUCAUAGUGAUCCGGUGGUUCUGAAUGGAAGGGCCAUCGCUCAACGGAUAAAAGGUACUCCGGGGAUAACAGGCUGAUACCGCCCAAGAGUUCAUAUCGACGGCGGUGUUUGGCACCUCGAUGUCGGCUCAUCACAUCCUGGGGCUGAAGUAGGUCCCAAGGGUAUGGCUGUUCGCCAUUUAAAGUGGUACGCGAGCUGGGUUUAGAACGUCGUGAGACAGUUCGGUCCCUAUCUGCCGUGGGCGCUGGAGAACUGAGGGGGGCUGCUCCUAGUACGAGAGGACCGGAGUGGACGCAUCACUGGUGUUCGGGUUGUCAUGCCAAUGGCACUGCCCGGUAGCUAAAUGCGGAAGAGAUAAGUGCUGAAAGCAUCUAAGCACGAAACUUGCCCCGAGAUGAGUUCUCCCUGACCC
rnacentral:rRNA from 1 species